AAACUACUCGCCAGAAAUACUACAAGGCUAUAGCUUAAAACUCAAAGGAACUUGGACGGUGCUUUACACCCCCUAGAGGAGCCUGUUCCGUAAUCGAUAAACCCCGAUCCACCCCACCCUCUCUUGCUCAGCCUAUAUACCGCCAUCUUCAGCAAACCCUAAUGAGGGUCACAAAGUGAGCGCAAAUGCCAUUGCCGCAAACACGUUAGGUCAAGGUGUAGCCUAUGAGACGGUAAAAAAUGGGCUACAUUUUCUACCUCAGAAAAUUCCACGAAAACCCUUAUGAAAUUUAAGGGUCCAAGGAGGAUUUAGCAGUAAAU
rnacentral:rRNA from 1 species